CUAGCCCUUCGCCGGAAAUCGUCGCCGCCAUACCGCCGCCGUCGCCGGAAUCCGGAUUUCAACCAAAAUUUCCAGAUUUUCUUCUCUUCAUCCCCUCUUUCCAUUUCUCUAACCAAAAUCAUGAAAUUUAGCCAUUCAAUCCCCCAAAAACCCUAGAACCCGAAGCUAAAAUUGGGGCUUUUGUGAUUUCUUCUUUCCAAGCUCAAAUCAAGGCUAUGGGUUUGGCAAGGAUUUUUGGUGAAGAAGGCCAAGGAGAAGGAAUAUGACGUG